GCAAGUCGCGCGAGAACGGUCCCUUCGGGGGCUCAGUAAAGCGGCGCACGGGUGAGUAACACGUGGGUAAUCUACCCUUCGGACGGGGGACAACCUCGGGAAACCGGGGCUAAUACCGCGUACGACCCUCUUCCCUUCGGGGAUAGGGGUGAUAGGGGGCCUCUCCAUGGAAGCUCUCGACGGAGGAGGAGCCCGCGGCCCAUCAGCUUGUUGGUGGGGUAACGGCCUACCAAGGCAACGACGGGUAGCUGGUCUGAGAGGAUGAUC
rnacentral:rRNA from 1 species